AGGGUUUGAUUAUGGCUCAGAACGUACGCUGGCGGCACGCCUAACACAUGCAAGUCGAACGAAGUAGCAAUACUUAGUGGCAGACGGGUGAGUAACAUGUAGGUAUCUGCCCUUUGGCCUGGAAUAACACGAGGAAACUUGUGCUAAUACCGGAUAAGUCUUUACGGAGAAAGCUUUAUGCACCAAUGGAUGAGCCUGCACUUGAUUAGUUUGUUGGUGGGGUAAUGGCCUACCAAGACUGUGAUCAAUAGCUGUUCUUAGAGGAAGACCAGCCACAUUGGGACUGAGACACGGCCCAGACUCCUACGGGAGGCAGCAGUGGGGAAUCUUGCACAGUGGGGGAAACCCUGAUGCAGCGAUGCCGCGUGAGUGAAGAAGGCCUUUGGGUUGUAAAACUCUUUCGUCGGGGAAGAAAAUGACUGUACCCGAAUAAGAAGGUCCGGCUAACUUCGUGCCAGCCGCCGCGGUAAUUC
rnacentral:rRNA from 1 species